rnacentral:rRNA from 1 species
UACGUAGGGUGCGAGCGUUGUCCGGAAUUACUGGGCGUAAAGAGCUCGUAGGCGGUCUGUCGCGUCGAUCGUGAAAACUUGGGGCUUAACCCUGAGCUUGCGAUCGAUACGGGCAUGACUGGAGUUCGGCAGGGGAGACUGGAAUUCCUGGUGUAGCGGUGAAAUGCGCAGAUAUCAGGAGGAACACCGGUGGCGAAGGCGGGUCUCUGGGCCGUAACUGACGCUGAGGAGCGAAAGCAUGGGGAGCGAACAGG